UACGGAGGAUGCGAGCGUUAUCCGGAUUUAUUGGGUUUAAAGGGUGCGUAGGCGGAUCGUUAAGUCAGUGGCCAAAUUGAGGGGCUCAACCCCUUCCCGCCAUUGAAACUGGCGAUCUUGAGUGGAAGAGAAGUAUGCGGAAUGCGUGGUGUAGCGGUGAAAUGCAUAGAUAUCACGCAGAACCCCGAUUGCGAAGGCAGCAUGCCGGCUUCCUACUGACGCUGAAGCACGAAAGCGUGGGGAUCGAACAGG
rnacentral:rRNA from 1 species